AUUGAACGCUGGCGGCAGGCCUAACACAUGCAAGUCGAGCGAUUUUGACCUCGGUCAGAAGAGCGGCGAACGGGUGAGUAACACGUAGGAAUCUGCCUGGUAGUGGGGGACAACGUUCCGAAAGGAACGCUAAUACCGCAUACGCCCUACGGGGGAAAGCAGGGGAUCUUCGGACCUUGCGCUAUCAGAUGAGCCUGCGUCGGAUUAGCUAGUUGGCGGGGUAAAGGCCCACCAAGGCGACGAUCCGUAACUGGUCUGAGAGGAUGAUCA
rnacentral:rRNA from 1 species